AUCGGGCUCAUCUGCCAACAGUCCUUCCCCAGAGACUGACGGUUUCAACCCAAGCAGAAAAGCAGACUGCAGAGGCCAACAAGGUUCCCUGAAGCGUUGGGGUAAAAGACCAUUUGAAAGGCAUUUCACCAUGCAUGUGGCAGGCACCCCUGACAGCAAUAACUUCACUGAAGCAUGACUCUGUGAAUGACUCUGCGGUCUAAGAAGAAUGUGUGUUCAGAGUCCCAAGCUAAGGGAUCCAGGAGCAGCCAACCAGGAGAUCCACUCCUAAUCCACGAAGGACAUCUGAACCUUUGGCCUGUCACUUGGAACACAGGGUUCUGGGAGAAGACAUUAACUUACAUUACCAACCUACAAACACAUUCAACCUUCAUUCUUGAAGCUGAGAUGAAGAGACAGUACCUCUGUUUUUCUUGCUUGUUCAGCAUCUGUUCCCCAUUUUUCUGGUAACAGCCCGUGGAUUUUCCUGGAGAACCACCACCACCUCUCAUUGCAGUUUUCGUGGUUUGGGUGGAUGGAUUUAACCCUUCCAUGUCUAGGGGCAAGAGUGACCUACGUCUGGCCAAUUUUCAGGCUCCAUUCCCCGUGGGCAACGUGAU
rnacentral:lncRNA from 1 species